CACUUCCAAACUCUUGACUAGGAGCUUGAAACAACUGUCUUCUCAGGUAGCAAGCUCCAGGGUUAACUCUGAAUCCUGUGCGUGCUGGGACAAGACGUUGGGAGUUCAGUCAGUGGUUUGAGGAUACACAUGGAGGGUAACUCAAAGGUGUUGGCACUAUUUAAGUCUUCCCUAGGCCAUAACUUGAAGACUUGCAUUUGAUUUACACAAAGGCCCUUUUCCAGUGCCCUGGCAGUACAAAGGUUGCAUUUGCUUAGCCUCUUCUGAACUGGAAUUGUGGGAGUAGUGAAUGUAAGCACAUGUUCAUCUUUUGACCUGUGCUGAUACACUGAAAGAAUGGUUGGUAACUGGCAUAAGGAGAUUCAGGAGUGGCUGAAAUCAAGGCAGCCAAGGACAACAAUUUCACUCCAAAGGCAGAUAAAAUUGAUAAAACUCAUAUGUUAAAUAACUUCCUACUGAGUCUCUACCUUGAUAAUUUAAAAAUGUCUCCUGGGAGAAAUAGAAAAUAUUCAUUUUCUGGGUUUCAUCUGGAAUUCUAGAAUGUAUACUUUCUACCCUCAUGUAGUUUUUUGUAACAAGAAAGCUCUUUCUUCUCUUUUGAGAGUGAAUUAUGUUCAGUACAAAAAGCAAUUAUUUUUUAGUUUAUUUAUAAGUUUAUCAGUUUUUCCAGUGUUGCUGUGAGUUAUUAAUACACUGUCUGAAAGAUUUAAUUUUUUUCCCCAGUGAUCAGCAUUCAAUGUAACUGUCUGGAAUUGUAUCUGUAUUUCAUUUUGUGCCAUUAUGAUAUUGGUUUACUGUAUUUUCUUUACUAAGCAGACACUCAGCACCUAACUCAUAGUGCAGGGUGUAGCUUUACAACCAGAUGAUAUUUAUUACUCUGGUAAGCUAUUUGAAAAAAGAACCCCAGACUCUAACUUGCAUGAAAAUGAACAUAUUUUCAUGUAAAUUCCUAAAGAGGAAACUGGCAGAAUUAACAAGUAUGAAAAAGUAUUGCUCUCUUCACCAAAGUUUGCCCAAAGGCUGGGAAGCAGCUGAAUUACUGGAUAAUAUUAGUAUCUUGGUUUUACUGUGAAACAGAUGUAUGCUGCCUGAUCUUUUUCCUGUGGGAAAAAAAGAACACAUAACAACAACAAUCACACUGCCCCUCCUUCUGCCCCAAACUUAGCAUUUUAUAUAUGUUAGAUAUAAAUAAACUGUGAUUUUUUUUUUUAAACUUCAGCUAGCAACUUUGUCAUCAAUUCUUGUGAGAUGAGAAUCAGGCUUUGUAUUUAAUAAGAGAUUCACUGUUAUUUAAUUACAUGAAUGUGGUCAGAAAACAGUCUUUCUGACCAGAAAGUGGAAAUAGGAUUGUGAUGUUGAAUAUAUGGUUUUGUUGCAAGCAGUGUUUUUUCUAUUAGCACUGUUGACCCUGAGCCCUGAUUUUGUAGACACAUAACUUGGUUGCUAAAAAUAGGAAAAUAGGCUUAUGUAUGUAAUUUAUUUUAAAAUGUUUUGGUCUUUUUUUUUAUGGAAGAGAGAGAGAUAUUUGGAGAGGGGGAAAUAUGGAUCACGGUAUUUGUAACAAAUGCAAAAUGUUUACUAAUACUAGUUGCUUUUGUAGACUUUUAAUUUCCAAAUAAAUUUGAAAAGUGGUUAGUUUGUAGCAUUGGACUUAUUUUAUUGUUCUGUCGUUCCUGGCAGUGUUUAGAGCAUGAUCAUUCCAAAUUUCAAGAGGAAGAAAGAGAAUUACUGCCAGUGAUUGCCAUCUUAGCGCCUCUGCAAACCUGGGGGCAUCAUCACUAUCACAGGCUGAUAUUGCACAGCUAUAUGAUCAACUGGAAUCUCAUUUUGAAAUAGAGAAGUGCAAGAUUUCAAACUUACGGGUAUAAUUGUAUGUAUUUUCAGAAAUUGAAAUGAGCUUAUGCAGAAAUAUUCAAAAUAGACCUUGAAGGAGGAACCAAAAAUGUCCAGCGAAGUGUAUACAUUAAGAAGUUUUAAGAACGUGUUUUGUAUUUAAAAGGCAACAAUUCCUUGGAACCCUAGAAAAGGGGGAAGCUCUUACCCAGUGGGACUUUGCUUCUACACUGGCAUUUUCCGUUUAAUGAAAUUUCUGAAAUAUAAUGGUGUAACCACUUUAAUAUUUAUGUCUAUACACAGUUAAAUACCAUUUUAUGUCUUACAUUUUUUUAAAAGAAGUGGACUAGGAACAUAGUGUAGCCCGUGCUGCAUUAAUUGUCAGAAAAACAAUAUGUAUAUUCAGUUGAGACAAGGAAAGCCAGAAAGUUUUGGCUGUAAUUAGCAGUUUUUGGGGAGGAAGACUCUACUUUUGAAAACAACUUGUUUGCAGUAGUUGAAAUUUGAUUACUCAAAAUUAUCACAUUAUCAUAUUGUUGCUACAGUCUGUUUUCAAAAACAUAGCUUUAGUACAGUGAAACAGAUUUCAAAGUUACCAGGAAAGAAGAACAUUUAACUAUAAGCAUGUGAGUCAAGCUAUCUCUCCCUGCGUAGAGUGAUGUCAACAGCCACAGGUUCUUCUGAGCUGGACAGAAUGCUUCAGCACGAAAGCUUCACAGCUGUUUUAGUCCUUCCUUUUCCUGAGCUUAUAUAUGCUGUGACAAUAUGGGCGGUUUGGAUCAAAGCUGAAUUGCAUUUGAUUGCCCUGAAGCAGAGAACAGAAGAACUCGCAUCUUGAAAUUAGACAUAGUUGGAUUUUCAGUGAAGGUGUUUCAGUGAAGACUUAAAUUCCUGAAUCUGACCCUAAGUGCUGUGGUCUCACUUUUGUGUCUGCACUGAGUUUGUUACCUGGUGCCAAAUGAUCCUCUCUUCAUCAGGAUAAAGUCACUACAUUAUCAGCUUUUCACACCAGCUACUCAUCUCAACUGGAGAAAACAGCACUUGGGAGUCAGAGAGGAAAAGUGUUCAGUGAAGAAAUUCAGUGAUGAGAGAAGAGUUUCAUUGGUGUUGGAAGGCAAACACAGAAAAGUAAACACAGCCCAGUGGAUUACAACAGAUGAAUGGUCACCACUUAGUAACAACAUUAAAUCCUGCCUUUCAAGAGUCAAAAGGACUGGAAUCUGCUUCUAAGAUAUUUAGUAAUCUACUGGAAAAGUUUGCCACCAGUUCUAGCUUUUAUCCCAAGUUUGCUGUUGUUCUGACGAUAUUUGAUGAGGAAAUUACCUGCUACAAGGAGAUGUUUAAAAAUCACAGACACCCACUGUUUUAGUGUCAUCCAUGUUUAUUGCUGAAGUUUUGCCAAAAGAACACCCUGCAGUUCUCCAGGCUUCAGGAGUGUUGCCUGUCAGAAAAGCCAGUGGAACUCCUUAACAAUAACUGGACUUGCCUUCAACCAGCAUAAGCCUCGUUCUUCCUAAACAGAUGGAUGUUUCACAGAGGGGCAAAUGAAAGCAUCUCUAUGAAGCACCUGAGACUCCUCUGUCACCCAGUGUAACUUGUCCCAGGAAGCCCUUGGGUAUUUGCCUAGAGACAGAGAUUGUGAAUCUGAAGCCGAUACCUCUUUAGUCACUGAGAGUGGAUUUGGGAUUUUACGUGCUGCUUAUACAAUGGUAAAACUGGGACUAUCACCAUAAAUAUUUCUGUUUGUUUAAAUUAAAGAAUGGACGUGAUACACUUUAUGAAAACACACCAGUGACUGCAGGCAGUUUAAAAUGGUCUUAUGAGUUACAAGAGGCUUCUCAGGCAUGGAACACAUUUUCAGCACAUCAAUUCUCUGUAAGUAUUGCUGUAAAACAUUGUACAAUGGGGCUUAAAACACUUCAGGCACUUUCUGAAGUUAUAGCCACAUUGUGCACUUAGAAAUGACAUUGAGAUGAAAUCUCUUUUGUCUCUGUAGAGUUUUGCAGAUAGGGGAAACAAAUUGUGUUUUGCAAAAAUAUGAAUAUUGGAAUAAAUGUAUUAAUAUAAUGAAGAAAUGGAGCUCUGCUAGACACGGGAUCUACACCUUCUCUGUGCCUCAGACCUCAGUGUAAUAAUUCUCUGGAAUUUGGAUGGUAUGAGGUAAUUUUAGUCAGAAGGUUACACAGUAGUAAAUUUCAUUGCAUGACAUUAAGAAUUUCUUUUAAUUGUUUUAGCAAUUAUUUUGUUUUACGGUAAAAUUCUCUUUCAUUCUAGAGAGAAGCAUAAGUUGUGUAUCUGUUUUCAUGAAUUUUUACUUCAGCGUGCAAAAAAGUGUAACAGGAUUGUGUGUUUGUAUUAUACAUGUUCCCUGAGAAGCAUUAGAGGUUUAAAAUAAGAGAAAUGACAUUUAAAUUUCAUAUUUCAUAUUUAUAUUGUACAUGGGAUCUAAAUGAAGAGACUAGAACUGCAGGACACAGAUGGCAAAGACCUGUAGCUCUUGCUUUCAGGAGGCUGCUAUAAAUUCUGCUUCAGUAAAUUCUGUAGUCAUGAUAAGGUAACUUGAGAUAGCUUUUUACUUGGUGUCUGAUUGCCCUUUUCUGAAUAACAAAAUCUUUUGUGAUUCUGUAGCUUUCUGCUAUUUCUCCAAGGGGUGUAAUAUCUUGAAAUUUUACAACAUCCUUCUAACACCAAGCAGUUUCACUGCUUUCAUAUUGCAAGGGACACACUAGGUAAAUAAAGAAGAUUCUUAUUGACAGAUGCAUGUGAAUAUAAAAGCAUACUAGAAAAUCGACAUAACCAUAAUAAACUACACUAAACUAAAACCAAACUGUUUUCAACUAUUUUUUGCAAUUAUCUUGUCUGUGGGAUGGUUGUUAGUCUGCUUGUAGUUAAUCAUACAUUGUAGUCUUAUUGAGUGUAUGUUUACUUUUCUUUGAAUACAAAAGGGUGACCUCUAAUGCAUUAAUUUAUUAAAUGCAUGGACAGAGCCAGCUCCUCCCAUCAGGAAAUUUAUGGAAUCAAGCAUAAGUGGCUUACAAGACUAGUAAAGGAUGAUGAAAGUUCUCUUACUAGGCUAUGUAGAAUGCUUUUCAGGGACUGGAAUAAAAUCCAUUGUUGAUUUUAGUCCAGUUCUCAGAGAUAUAUUUUGACAAAACUACUAUCAUUACUGGGGUAAGUACUGAUUGGAAGAAUCGGCCUCCCUUGUAGAAACAAAGAAAAAAGUUACCUAAUGGGACUUCUUCCUGCUGAUGGAAAUGGCAUCUCAGGAACUGGGCAGAGACAUAUUGGACUUCUCUGUAAAUGUUAGAAUGAACCUUUUCAAUCAAAGUUGUGAUGAUCUUAGAUUCAUUUUAGUUAAAAUAGUUCUAGUUUGCAUAUGGAGAGCUAGUAAGAUAGACUUUCCAAGGCUCUAAACAUAUUCUUAUAUAAUAAGAACAAGCUGAUAUCAUCCAGUUUUGAAACAGGGUAAUGUCCUCACUGAGAAUUUUACCAGUUUGGCUGCACUGUCUGUGAACUAAAACCCGAGUAUUUCACACAGAAGCUAUGACAGAAAGACAAAGGAGGAGCUGCAGUAAGAGAAACUUGUCCUGCUUUUGUCUAGUCAUCCAUCUCAUGGAGAGCCAGAAAUGUUCAGUGUUAUAGUCUAUCCUGGCACUUUUUGUAUACAUUGAAAGCUCUACUAAUGUACAAAUAGGAUGCAGACUCUGCUAUAUAUAGUAAGAAGAAGGUUGAAUCCAUUGAGAACUUGGCAGAUAUUUUUAAAACUAGGAGUCUGAGCAUAUUUGAUUUUCAUUCUUUUCUCCCAAAUGAAAAGACCAAUGGUUUAUUGCAGCAUAAUAGGUAAACUUGAAUGUGGUACAGAACAGACUGAACAAAGAAGGAAGAAAUCUGUUUAACAAUAUUUCUGAUAACCUUAGAAAGAAUAAGAGUUUUUCUUACUCUCCUUAUACUGCAAAUUUAACUGUAAUUACAAAGCUGUGCCAGAGGCUGUGCCAUGCUGCAUGGAGAGUUUUGACAAACAACUGAUGCUGCUUCUAACUUGGCAGAGUGCAGAUCUCUGUGAGUGUAAUGAACAGGCAAGGAGACCUUGCUUAAAAUGUGGAUGAGAGAAUCAGAAUAUUCAAGCAUAAUGUGAAAUUGGAUGUUGUGUAGAUUGAGUCAAACACUUUUUUUAUCAAGAAAAAAAUGGCAAAAAUCUUUUCAUCUAUCCUUUGAUUAAAAAAAAAAGAGUGAAAUGUUCAAACUAUGGAGUACGAUUCAAGAAACAGUAGAAAAGAUUUACCAGAUAAUCAACAUGACAGUAGAUCCAGUGAAUAUUUUGUUCUGGGAGUAGCUAUUGUCACUAAGUAGGUGUCAAUACUUAGAAAAGCCAGGAUUAAGUAAAAGCUAAAACUGUUUUCAAAUAUUUGCACUUGCUGAUGUAAAUCUGACUCCAAAGGGAAAUAGUUUUCAGUAACUAGUUCCAGGUGUACUUGUAAAAGUUACAAUGGAAAGGUAAUUAUGUUGUAAAUAGUGGGAAUGCACUUCAUCAAAGUGAGAGUUUCUUUAUUCCUGGACUCAGUUAGCUGAAAUAAGGAAUACACACUGGAAAGCGCAAUUCUAAACCCCUGUUACUCUAAAUUACUCUUUCCAGGACAAUCAGUAUUUGCUCCAGGCAGAUCCUCUUUCUGAUGAAUGGAAACUCUACACUGAAUACAUACACUACAUGAUUGUAGAUGGACUGUUCAAAGCUAUCAAGUGUUCUCUUCAGUAUCUGACUGAAAACAUUGAGACAACAUUUAAAUCCACUACUUUAUUUGAAGUGCAGCUUUUUCUUAAUAGCAGUGAAAUGACUUUUAAACGUUCUUUGUACUUAAUGUCAAUGGCAAUUUCUGUGAUAUUAUGGAGAGUCUAAUCAAAACCAACUAUGAUACUGCAUCAUCUGUAGACAGAUUUGUCAAAUACCUUGGGAAAGACCCUUUUCAGUUAUUCUUACUUUUGCUACUUUUCCUUUUUAAAAAUUUUUUUGUUAAUGUCACAAUUGACCUUUCCUCUAGGCAUUUGAAUGUAGUUGUUUUCCCAGUCCAGUGACCCUUAUCCAGUGGCUUAUGUGAAGAAGGCUAAUAUCUGAAGAGAGGCUGUGAGGCUUUUUCCCAUCUGUUUUCUGUGAGCUGUCAUAUUCUGCUCUCCUUAACCUCUGCCUCUCUUGUUUUAUGAAUGCAUCCAGUCAUUUCCAUCAGCCACCAGCAUAUAUUCUUUGAAUGAUAUUAGCUACCUUUUUAACUUCUUCCGGUUCACUUGCCUAAUUGAGAGUGCCUUUCUAAUACACACUGAAAUCUGCAGCUGGAUGAUGGACUGUCUGCAAAGCUGGUUCAUGAACUUGCCUUCUACUUUUGCUUGUAUACUGUGCCCAGGAGGUCUUUGGCUUUACAGUGCCUGUAUUACUGAGCAUUUGGUGUCAAAUGACUUCUAUAUAUUCCAGGUUGGGCAUUUCUCAAGAACUGUGGGUUUCUUUGUGAUUGUUGGUUGAAUAUUUGCUUUCUUGGUGCCUCAUUUCUCAUUAGGACAGCUAAUACUGUUUCUGCUCCCAGAUCUGCAAGUACCAUUGAGCUUAUUUAUCCACAAUUUCCUUCUCUAUAAGCUGUGAGGUUAUGUCCACAGAUGGCAGAAAAAAGUGGUUUGUGAAUUGCAGUGGGACACUUUUGCUAGAAAUUUAAUGUUAAUGCAAGUUUUUGUGCAAGAGUAUUCUUGCUGGACUAGCAGGACGUGCAAAAUGCUUUGUGCAAUUUCUUCCUUUUGCAGGUCUUUUUUAAUAUCAGAUGGAAACAAAUAUCAAUAAAUAAAUAUAUCAAAAUCACCGCUUAUCCAGGGAAAAAUAGGUUAACUGUAAAUUGGUUACACUGUAUAAUAGUGAAAAAUAAACAAAGGAUAAGGUUGGACUCAAUAUUCCAGUUUUUGGAACGCUAUGAAAAAUGACACUGAUGGUCAUAAGGACCUGAAUCCCAAUCCAUCUCACUAACUAGUGCUGGAAGUUAAAUCAACAUGUUGGAGGAUGUGAGUAAUAACAAGUGCAAUGUUUUGUGUCUGACUGAUGACAAUAGGUACUUUGAAUUUUUGAUGUUAGUGUGAUGCAUGAAACAGAAAUUAUAAUUCUGGAGAAACAUGUAUCCAAGCAGUCAUUCCUAUUAACUUGUUUCAGGGAGCAGACAGGAAACUUGAUGUUAACUGUCAAGCUAUAAUUGUCAUUGCCAUCAGUACAAUAUCGUGGGUCUUGGCAUGUGACUUAGCUCUAAGGAUGUCUUUUCUUUCUUGAAUUUACUCUUUGCCUCCACUGCUUUUUCACUUUUGGAUGUUCAUUUAGCAUGACUUAGAUCAGAUGGAUACCCUGGAAAAAAUAAGUCAAGUAGCUCUGAGGAACAAAGAGUGGUACUUAAUGGAUUGAUGAUGAAAUUAGAUGUAUAAAGCAGUUUCUACUCUGUGGACGAUUUCUUAGUAAAGAGGAGGUGGAAUUUUAUGAAAAUUAUGAGGUUCAUGAGACUUAGUUCAUUCUAAAGAAUAGGUAUUUCCAUUUUUGCCUAUUAUACCACCUUGAGCCUAUUAAUAAAAUAUGUCUAUUAAUGAAAUAUAAGUAAUUACAUUACUUUGUUGAUUUGUUUAAAAUUUAGUGUUCAUCAUGUUUCAUUUUGUUUGUUGUUUUUUUUUUAGGCCCAAUAUU